rnacentral:rRNA from 1 species
CAGCCGCCGCGGUAAUACGUAGGGUGCGAGCGUUAAUCGGAUUUACUGGGCGUAAAGCGUGCGCAGGCGGCCCGUUAAGACAGGUGUGAAAUCCCUGGGCUCAACCUAGGAAUUGCGCUUGUGACUGGCGGGCUCGAGUACGGUAGAGGGGGGUGGAAUUCCUGGUGUAGCAGUGAAAUGCGUAGAGAUCAGGAGGAACACCGAUGGCGAAGGCAGCCCCCUGGGCCUGUACUGACGCUCAUGCACGAAAGCGUGGGGAGCAAACAGGAUUAGAUACCCUGGUAGUCCACGCCCUAAACGAUGGGUACUAGCCAUUUGGUGCGCGAUAGCGCUGAGUGGCGAAGCUAACGCGUGAAGUACCCCGCCUGGGGAGUACGGCCGCAAGGUUGAAACUUAAAGGAAUUGGCGGG